ACAGAGUUGAUAGAAGCUUUGAAAACAAAAAUUGGCUAUAAAAUCAUUGGUCACUCUUAGAUUCUAAUUUUGUGCGACAGAAUGUGUCAGCGGAACUUACGGAAGGAACUGCUCGUACAAUUGUUCAAGUCUAUGUCUCAACGGAGAAUGUGAUCCUGUCAAUGGGACUUGCAAUAGAUGCCCCGCUGGGUUUGAGGGGCAGGCUUGUGAAUUGAAAAUAUUCAGAGUGGAAUUCAGCAGUUUUGGAAUAGGAAUAGCUAUUGGGGGUGGAGCUAUUGUACUUAUCGUCCUGGUCGUCCUAUUGAUGAUUUAUCACCCUAGGUUGGUUCUGUGGAGGCAAAGGUCAAGGUUUGCUUGUGGUGAAACGAAUCUCCAGGUUACAGAAGGCCACAUCUAUGACCAUAUUUUACAAACAGAUCUUCGAGACGGAGAAGUCAAUCAUGUAUACGAGACAAGUGUCUUGACAUCGCCAGCUCAGACAGAGUACUCUACAGUCGAACCUAAUAGUGGAUACGAAAUACCAAACAAUCAAGUCCACUCUAAUGGGCUUUGUUGCUGCACAUAAAAAUUAUAUAUGUCUCAGACGCGAAUGGCCCACAUUUUCAGUAAAAGA
rnacentral:sRNA from 1 species